rnacentral:lncRNA from 1 species
UUUUCCCUAAUCUAAUUCAAAUCAUUUUCCAAAUUUUGAACAAUACAACAAUAACAAUAAAAGACCGCAAAAGCCAGAAAAUUAAAUGAUAAAAUAUGGCUUUAACAUGGUUAACAAAAAGAUGAAAAAAAAAAAACUCAAUCUAAGCAAGAGUUUCUCGGUCAAAAUUUUGAAGGGACUCCCAGGCUUCAAUCCUUUGUUGCUUGCUUUGUUGUGUUUAAAUUGUCUGUGGUGUGUUAUGUGAAUUGAGAAAAUGGAGGGAUAGAGCCGAAAGGAUCAGAGAAAUUUUUUUCUCCUUCUUCCUCUCUAUUUUUUUUUUCAGCAGCCUAAGCUAAGAGAAGGAGAGAGUGAGGGCCUCUCUGCAAAAUUUUCUUCUACUCCAUUGAGCCAGCCGAGAGAGUGAGAGAGUUUUUCUCUUGCUUUCUUCUGCUUUUUUUUCUUCUCUUGGACCAGUUGCUUCUUCUUUUCUUUCUCUGGUAAAAAAGAUGGUGAUGGCCAUCAUGAGUCAUCAUGAAGGCUCAUGAUGACUUCCUUUUUUUUUAAUACAAAAACUAAUUUUUUUUGUUUUUUCUGCUUUU